rnacentral:rRNA from 1 species
AACGAACGCUGGCGGCAUGCCUAACACAUGCAAGUCGAACGAGACCUUCGGGUCUAGUGGCGCACGGGUGCGUAACGCGAGGGAACCUGCCCUUAGGUUCGGAAUACCUCCCCGAAAGGGGUGCUAAUACCGGAUAAUGUCUUCGGACCAAAGUUUUAUCGCCUUUGGAUGGGCACGCGUUAGAUUAGCUAGUUGGUAGGGUAAAAGCCUACCAAGGCGACGAUCCAUAGCUGGUCUGGGAGGAUGAUCAGCCACACUGGGACUGAGACACGGCCCAGACUCCUACGGGAGGCAGCAGUGGGGAAUAUUGGACAAUGGGCGAAAGCCUGAUCCAGCAAUGCCGCGUGAGUGAUGAAGGCCUUAGGGUUGUAAAGCUCUUUUACCCGGGAUGAUAAUGACAGUACCGGGAGAAUAAGCGCCGGCUAACUCCGUG